GAGAUUCUGAAACUUUAAAGAAAUACUGUAGUUCUGAGGUAAUUGAACGUUGUAAAGCAGAGCAUCGGGCUUACCAGAGCCAAGGUAUCUUCUUUGAUAACAAGAUUCUGCACAUUUCAGAGGUUGAAGUGCGGGAGACCAAGAUGAUGGGAAGCAGUCCCAUCAUCAUUGUAGCUUUCCAAACGCAGCAGGUCUACUGCGUACGUGAUGCACAUGGAUCAAUUAGAGAAGGUGGUAAGGACACAAUCCACACUGUAUAUUAUGCAUGGGCUAUGCAAAUGUUGGAUCCUGAAGAAGUUGGAGAAGGAGCAUCUCAUGCUAUUUGGAGGGUUAGGGAAAUGCAGCAGUUUGGUGUUCAAGCACUCAUCUAAUUCCCUGCUUUGCUUUCUUCUCAAAC
rnacentral:misc_RNA from 1 species